rnacentral:rRNA from 1 species
GGAAUGCGGCUGCUAUACAUGCAAGUCGAGCGGAGUGAUUUUGAAAGCUUGCUUUCAAAAUCAUUUAGCGGCGGACGGGUGAGUAACACGUAGGCAACCUGCCCCUUAGACUGGGAUAACUACCGGAAACGGUAGCUAAUACCGGAUAAUUCCUUUCUUCUCCUGAAGAGAGGAUGAAAGAUGGAGCAAUCUAUCACUGAGGGAUGGGCCUGCGGCGCAUUAGCUAGUUGGUGAGGUAACGGCUCACCAAGGCGACGAUGCGUAGCCGACCUGAGAGGGUGAACGGCCACACUGGGACUGAGACACGGCCCAGACUCCUACGGGAGGCAGCAGUAGGGAAUCUUCCGCAAUGGGCGAAAGCCUGACGGAGCAAUGCCGCGUGAGUGAUGAAGGUUUUCGGAUCGUAAAGCUCUGUUGCCAGGGAAGAACGUCCGGUAGAGUAACUGCUACCGGAGUGACGGUACCUGAGAAGAAAGCCCCGGCUAACUACGUGCCAGCAGCCGCGGUAAUACGUAGGGGGCAAGCGUUGUCCGGAAUUAUUGGGCGUAAAGCGCGCGCAGGCGGCUAUUUAAGUCUGGUGUUUAAACCUUGGGCUCAACCUGAGGUCGCACUGGAAACUGGGUGGCUUGAGUACAGAAGAGGAAAGUGGAAUUCCACGUGUAGCGGUGAAAUGCGUAGAUAUGUGGAGGAACACCAGUGGCGAAGGCGACUUUCUGGGCUGUAACUGACGCUGAGGCGCGAAAGCGUGGGGAGCAAACAGGAUUAGAUACCCUGGUAGUCCACGCCGUAAACGAUGAGUGCUAGGUGUUAGGGGUUUCGAUACCCUUGGUGCCGAAGUUAACACAGUAAGCACUCCGCCUGGGGAGUAC